ACUACUUCUAGCCCUACCACUCACAAAACAAAAUAAUUUUUUCACAUAAACUAAAACAUUUAACCUAAUAAAAGUAUUGGGGAAAAAAAUUUUACCAAGGAGCUAUAGAAAAAGUACCGCAAGGGAAAGAUGAAAGACUAAUUUUAAGUAUAAAUAAGCAAAGAUUAAACCUUGUACCUUUUGCAUAAUGAUUUAACUAGAACACCCCUAACUAAACGAAUUAAAGCUAGAAACCCCGAAACCAAACGAGCUACCUGAAAACAAUUUUAUGAAUGAACCCGUCUAUGUGGCAAAAUAGUGGGAUGAUUUUCAGGUAGGGGUGAAAAGCCUACCGAGCUUGGUGAUAGCUGGUUACCCAAAAAAUGAAUUUUAGUUCAACUUUAAGAUUACCAUAAGAAAUUAUAGCCUUUAUGUAAACUUAAACUAUAGCCAAAAGAGGGACAGCUCUUUAGGAAUGGAAAUAACCUUUAAUAGUGAGUAAAUUUGCCUGACUUAACCAUUGUGGGCCUAAAAGCAGCCACCAACAAAGAAAGCGUUCAAGCUCGACAUAAACAGGUAAUAAUUCAAGCAUUAUUAAUAAACUCCUACAUUUGAAAUUGGGUUAAUCUAUUAUCGUAUAGAUGAGAUACUGUUAAUAUGAGUAACAAGAACUCCCUUCUCUUAGCACAAGUGUAUAACAACCCGAAUGAUCGCUGUUAGUUAUAGGAAUAUAGAUAAUAAGCUUAGAAUUAAAUUAUCUAAACCUCGACCGUUAACCCGACACAGGAGUGCUAAAAAGAAAGAUUAAAAGAAGUAAAAGGAACUCGGCAAAAAUAAAUCCCGCCUGUUUACCAAAAACAUCACCUCUAGCAUUACAAGUAUUAGAGGCACUGCCUGCCCAGUGACCAAAGUUAAACGGCCGCGGUAUCCUGACCGUGCAAAGGUAGCAUAAUCACUUGUUCCUUAAUUAGGGACUAGCAUGAAUGGCAAGACGAGGAUUUAACUGUCUCUUACUCCUAAUCAGUGAAAUUGACCUUCCAGUGAAGAGGCUGGAAUAACAUAAUAAGACGAGAAGACCCUAUGGAGCUUUAAUUAACUAGCUUAAUCAUUCAAACCUACCCCUAAUGGAACAAAAACAAAACUAUAGGCUAGCAAUUUUGGUUGGGGUGACCUCGGAGAACAAAACAACCUCCGAAUGAUUCUAGCACAGACACACAAGUCAAAGCAAAGCACUAGAUCUAAUUGACCCAAACUACUUGAUCAACGGACCAAGUUACCCUAGGGAUAACAGCGCAAUCCUAUUUAAGAGUCCAUAUCGACAAUAGGGUUUACGACCUCGAUGUUGGAUCAGGACAUCCCAAUGGUGCAGAAACUAUUAAUGGUUCGUUUGUUCAACGAUUAAAGUCCUACGUGAUCUGAGUUCAGACCGGAGUAAUCCAGGUCGGUUUCUAUCUAUUAACAAUUUCUCCUAGUACGAAAGGACAAGAGAAAUAGAGCCUACUCACAAAUGAGCGCCCUUGAUCAAAUAUAUGAACUAAAUCUUAAUAUAGUAGAUAUGUACAACCACAAUAUCUAGAUAAGAUU
rnacentral:rRNA from 1 species